UACAGAGGGUGCGAGCGUUGUUCGGAAUUAUUGGGCGUAAAGGGCGCGUAGGCGGUGCGGUAAGUCACCUGUGAAAUCUCCUGGCUCAACUGGGAGCUUGCAGGCGAAACUGCCGUGCUGGAGUGUGGGAGAGGUGCGUGGAAUUCCCGGUGUAGCGGUGAAAUGCGUAGAUAUGCGGAGGAACACCGAUGGCGAAGGCAGCCCCCUGGGCCAACACUGACGCUCAGGCACGAAAGCGUGGGGAGCAAACAGG
rnacentral:rRNA from 1 species